CAGUUGUUUGAUUCGAUUUCUCAGGUUUCGUAGUCCAGAAUUAUUUCUCUUUUGAUCAAAUUAUACUAAUCUAGGCCCAUCAGUUCGUCGCCUGUAACUUUCGAGGUUCUUUUCAAGGCUAUAAAUCUUUAUCCAAAACUUAAAAUCAAUCAAAAUUAAGGCACACCAUACUUUCUGUUGAAAACGGCUUUGUUUCUACCUUUCUAAAUUUACUCUGGUUGUUUCUUGUCCACUCCUAGCUAUUGCACGUGCCAGUUUCUGUUCCUCGUUUGGAUUGAUAACUGGAAGUUGCAGGCCUGAACUUCUUGUACUUGCAUACUCUACUUUAACUGUACGGAAAAGCAUUGUAAAAACUUCACUUUCCCCGAUCAGAACACUCGUGUUCAUAUCCCAUGUCCAUAACAACUUCCAAUACUCAACUUCUCUCAAAUACUCUAACACCCAUUAG
rnacentral:lncRNA from 1 species